rnacentral:snRNA from 1 species
AGCAGCAGAGGGUGCCACAAAAUACCUAGGCCCUCGCCUUUUACUAGGGCCUACCGUGUGACGCCUUCAUUAUAAAGCUGCUCAUCAAUAUUUGGAACUGUACUCUCAUUUGAGUACU